GCCCUUAUAGCUCAACAGGAUAGAGCAGUGGCGUCCUAAGCCAUUGAUCCAGGUCCGAGUCCUGGUAAGGGCA
rnacentral:tRNA from 1 species